rnacentral:siRNA from 1 species
UAGACGAGGCCAAGCACAUGUU